GAUGAAGAACGCAGCGAAAUGCAAUACGUAGUGUGAAUUGCAGAAUUCAGUGAAUCAUCGAAUCUUUGAACGCACAUUGCACCUCUCGGUAUUCCGGGAGGUAUGCCUGUUCGAGCGUCAUUUGUACCCUCAAGCUCUGCUUGGUGUUGGGUGUUUGUUCCGCCUCCGUGUGUGAACUCGCCUCAAAACAAUUGGCAGCCGGCGUACUUGUUUCGGAGCGCAGCACAUUUUGCGAUCCAGAUCAACGUACAGCGGCAUCCAAGAAGCCUUAUUUAACGCUCUUGACCUCGGAUCAGGUAGGGAUACCCGCUGAACUUAAGCAUAUCAAUAAGCGGAGGA
rnacentral:misc_RNA from 1 species